AGUGGGGUGCAAACAGGUGACAGGGGAUUACGUGGCUUACAGAGGGAUUUCUGCCACUCGCUGCCACGCGGACGAACGCGAAGGACGCCACGGGCAGCGUCAGGGGACUUCCUGGGAGAGACCACGUCUUCCGUCUCUGUCUGGGGUCUACCAGGCCCUGGGAGCAGGAACGCCACCCUCCGAGCUCCUGAGAAAGCCGAAACCAGAGUCGGUCCCCAAACACUGUCUGUGGCAGUGCAGACGGACGCGGGCCAUAAGCAGCAGUUCCCAGAAGCAGGCUCUCAGACAGCGUCCACCGUCGCCAGGAACUGCGGAGAAUGCUCCGUGGAAGGCGGCACGAAGCGCUAAACAUCUGGAGACGGCCGUCCACACGCCAUUUAAAAUCGUCUGUGUCCCCAACAGGGAGGCUUCCAGCUCCUCAGAUGACGGCAGGCGUCCGGGCGCGGACGGCCCCGAUGCCCAGAGCAGGAGUGGUGAGUCGGAGCUGCCUGGGUCAGCUUGGUGAGCCCCGUGGCGUCACGGAACGUCUCCAAACCAGGGUUUCUCGCCUGGGCACUGCUGGCAUUUGGGGCGACUCCGUGUGAGGGCCCCGUCCCGUGCAUGUAGGGUGUCGGCGGCAUCCCUGGCCUCCCCCCGCCCCGGAUGCGAGUGGUGGCCCCGCCCCACAGCGGUGACACCCCAGGAGGUCUCCGGACGCUGCCAAACAUCCCUGGGGUGCAAGACUCCCGGCUGAGGCCACCUGCUAGGUGCCCCGUGUGACCCCCGAGGGCUCCUUGAGGGCUCCCCGCAGUGACGCCUCUGCUCCGAGCUCUCAAGCAGUGAGACUGUUUGCAAAAUCCUGUCUUCCUGUUAGUAAGUUCAGGGUUGAGAGGGGCUGGCGGCCUUCACCGUGGUAGGUGCAGGUGCAGGUGCAGAACAGGCAGGGGCUGGGACCGAGGGGAACCCGAAAGGCCAGGAUGCUGGACCCCGCAGGGCAGGUGCUGUGGCUUCACCGACCUCAGAGGAUCUCUAGUUUCUGUAAAAGCCGGAGGGCGGCUGUCAGGGCCACACUGCUGUCCCGAGUGUUUGGUUCAGGGGGGACAGGAGACCAAGGGAGAACAGGAGACCAGGGGUGGACAGGAGACCAGGGUGGACAG
rnacentral:lncRNA from 1 species